rnacentral:lncRNA from 1 species
ACUAUGAACUUUCUUUGGUCAGACAUCGGGAAAAAAGGAUCGAGUAUGUCAAUUCCCCACUGAGUGAAAGGCCAAGGUGCGACAAUGGACGUUAGCCGACAGAUGGGUUGAUGCUGUAUGUUGGCAUACUUCUGGCAUGGUUCGCACCUCCAGACGAAGUCAGCUGCAUCUUUUUCAUGGUGGGCCAAUAGUAACCUUAUCACAAAAUCUUGUAGGCUAGGGACUUGCCCCCCAAGUGGCUUUCAUAAAUUUUUUCAUGUACUUUUCUAAGUGCAUAGUCGGCAUCGGUCGGUCCUAGGCACUUCAGUAAGGGAAGGGAGAAU